AUCCAAGGAAGGCAGCAGGCGCGCAAAUUACCCACUCCCGGAACGGGGAGGUAGUGACGAAAAAUAACAAUACGGGACUCUUUUGAGACCCCGUAAUUGGAAUGAGUACACUCUAAAUCCUUCCACCAGGAGCAAUUGGAGGGCAAGUCUGGUGCCAGCAGCCGCGGUAAUUCCAGCUCCAAUAGCGUAUAUUAAAGUUGUUGCGGUUAAAAAGCUCGUAGUUGGAUCUCAGUUCCAGACGGGCGGUCCGCCUACCGGCGGUUACUGCCUGUUCUGAACAGCCAGCCGGUUUCUCUUGAUGAUCUUCACCGGUUGUCUUGGGUGACCGGCAAGUUUACUUUGAAAAAAUUAGAGUGCUCAAAGCAGGCGCGACGCCUGAAUAAUGGUGCAUGGAAUAAUGGAAUAGGACCUCGGUUCUAUUUUGUUGGUUUUUCGGAACACGAGGUAAUGAUUAAGAGGGACAGACGGGGGCAUUCGUAUUGCGGCGCUAGAGGUGAAAUUCUUGGACCGUCGCAAGACGAACUACUGCGAAAGCAUUUGCCAAGAAUGUUUCCAUUAAUCAAGAACGAAAGUUAGAGGAUCGAAGGCGAUCAGAUACCGCCCUAGUUCUAACCAUAAACGAUGCCAGCCAGCGAUCCGGCUGUGUUCCUCAAAUGACACGCCGGGCAGCUUCCGGGAAACCAUCAGCGUGUGGGUUCCGGGGGAAGUAUGGUUGCAAAGCUGAAACUUAAAGGAAUUGACGGAAGGGCACCACAAGGACUGGAGCCUGCGGCUUAAUUUGACUCAACACGGGACAACUCACCCGGCCCGGACAUAGGAAGGAUUGACAGAUUAAGAGCUCUUUCUUGAUUCUAUGGAUGGUGGUGCAUGGCCGUUCUUAGUUCGUGGUGUGAAUUGUCUGGUUAAUUCCGUUAACGAACGAGACUCUAGCCUACUAAAUAGACGUUCCGAUCAUCUGCGUCGGACGUUCUUCUUAGAGGGACAGGCGACGUUCAGCCGCACGAGACAGAGCAAUAACAGGUCUGUUAUGCCCUUAGAUGUCCGGGGCCGCACGCGCGCUACAUUGAAGGAAUCAGCGUGUGCUUUCCCUGUCCGACAGGACUGGGUAACCCGUGGAACCUCCUUCGUGCUGGGGAUAGGGGCUUGUAAUUCUUCCCCUUGAACGAGGAAUUCCUAGUAAGCAUGAGUCAUCAGCUCGUGUUGAUUACGUCCCUGCCCUUUGUACACACCGCCCGUCGCUACUACCGAUUGAAUGAUUUAGUGAGGUCAUCGGACUGGCGCUCGGAGCGGCCUUCGGGUCGCGCCGGCGUGCCGGAAAGACGACCAAACUUGAUCAUUUAGAGGAAGUAAA
rnacentral:rRNA from 1 species